GACAGAGGGUGCAAACGUUGUUCGGAUUUAUUGGGCGUAAUGCGCGUGUAGGCGGCUUUGCAAGUCGGGUGUGAAAGCCCUCGGCUCAACCGAGGAAGUGCGCCCGAAACUGCAGAGCUUGAGUACCGGAGAGGAUGGCGGAAUUCCCCAAGUAGAGGUGAAAUUCGUAGAUAUGGGGAGGAACACCGGUGGCGAAGGCGGCCAUCUGGACGGAUACUGACGCUGAGACGCGAAAGCGUGGGUAGCAAACAGG
rnacentral:rRNA from 1 species